rnacentral:rRNA from 1 species
UACGUAGGGUGCAAGCGUUGUCCGGAAUUAUUGGGCGUAAAGAGCUCGUAGGCGGCUUGUCGCGUCGGCUGUGAAAACCUGGGGCUCAACCCCGGGCCUGCAGCCGAUACGGGCAAGCUAGAAUUCGGUAGGGGAGACUGGAAUUCCUGGUGUAGCGGUGAAAUGCGCAGAUAUCAGGAGGAACACCGGUGGCGAAGGCGGGUCUCUGGACAUUUCCUGACGCUGAGGCACGAAAGCCAGGGGAGCAAACGGGG